CUGAAUUCUAAGCUACACUGACCUGACAAAUUAAAUUUCUGAAGCACCUUGUUCAUGUGAUCUCCUUCCUCCCUAGUGGACAGCACUGGUUAAAAUUCCUCCUCAGGAAACUGAUUUGAUGCUGAGUUUGAGUGUUAACUCUGGAUCUGUCGAGCGUGUGGCCCAGCAGAAGGGUGACAAGGUGAGAACAGGCCUGAGGAAAGUUAGUGUGACACACUGCACUGUGUUGGAGCCCACAGACUGCUAGGAGCAGCUUACCAGGAGCUGGUGAAACUAGAGCUUGGAAAAGUGAGGCCUUUUAUCUCUACCUGCACAGGGAAACCACGUGGAGGGAGAGAGGAAAGGAUAUGUUCUGGCCAUUUAAGUGAAAUUCUCUUUUGUCUGUAGUGAUAUGCUCCUUCUGUAGGAAAUAAAUCCUAAAUUAUGAAUUUAAACA
rnacentral:lncRNA from 1 species